UGUUUUUUAUGGAUCCUAUUCGGAUUGCUCCAUACUAAUUGAGGGAUUCGUAAUUGAGAAACGAAACCCUUUUCCAAAUAAUUAAAACCCUAAAAAGUUGUUGCGACUUAAUUCUAUGGAUCAAGCAGAGGAGGCGGCAGUGAAGAAUCUCUUUAUCGUGUUUUUAUUGGAUUAAGAUCAGCUCUCGAGUGAUGAAACUAAUCUCCAUCCUAGAGGUUUGCUUUGUUUCUCAACUGCCGCUGUUUGAUCCGGUGGCUGGUAGGAUAUUACGACGGCUUUGUGGCUCAUAUGGUUCUUACAUUCGAAAUUCUUCGGUGUCUUAUCAGAAUAUGUGAUUAAACUUAUCGGCUAUUUUUUUUGGGAACAACGACGAGACCAGCCUUGAUUUCUUUAUUGGGUCUCCUUGGUAAACUCAUUAAAUCCGUAAAUUAAUAAUCCUUAUGUUAUCAGUUCACAUUCUAGAUUUGAUGUAGAUAUGUAUCUGUGAAAAGGUUGAAUCUGUAAUUUUUGUAAGAAACAUUAGUUUAUGAUCAUUUAUCUUAACAUGUUUUUUGUUAUGAUGAUUAGAUCAGAUGAAGCAUCUCUGAUAUUGGUUAGGCUUCUCAGAUGUUUCUUCUAAUUCUUUUAUUGUGCAACAGUAGAUCCAAGAUGGUUUUGAAGGUUGGACAAGUUUCACAACCAAAUUUGUCUUCUUAAUCUCAUUUUUGAGUUUCAAGCCAACCAUAGGAGAAGGUGGUAUUAUUUGCACAUUGCCAAACAGUUGCAGGCACAUUCAUCAGUCAAAGCCCAACUCUCAAGUCUGCUUUCUCCCUAUCAAGUGAUGAUAUAUUUUGCUAUCUGGGAACAGGUUUGGGGCUGAAUGCUUCUACUACUGCUGCCAAUCUAUCUAAAGAGGAGGACGAGAUGUUUGCCUCCUGUAGAUUUUCUGAAGACAGUGCAGGCAAUGAAGCUCUUUGCAUUGCUGCAAACAUUGAACGUGAUGGAAGUAUUACAACAUGUGAUACGAAAUCAUGGAAACGAAAAGAGUCAAAGCCUAUAAAAAAACAAAUCUAUAUUAGCCUUUAAUGUCUCAGCUGAUGCGAUGUAAGUUUAUCUUUCUUCUCACUUGCGAUAGUAUGUUGUGUCGUUAGUGAGGGCUUUCAAUAUCAUCUAUUGCUAUGGCCAGCAUGUGUUUUAGAUAAACAGAAUAAAAUCUGGAAAUCUGUUAAUUGGUGCUCAUGUGGUAAGUUUUAUCCAUAUUUUAGCAUUGACAUCUUUCCAUUUGAUUUUGGAGAGAUUGAGGAUCUUAAACAGAGCCAUUAACUUCUAAUGCUCAUACUAUGAAUUUACGAUUCAUACAUAAGGUAACGAGAUGUUGGGUAAUUUGUCUUCAUAACUUUCAUAAUGAAAGUUUCAUUUAGUUGGUCAGUUUGCAUUUAUAUAUAUAUCAUUUUCAAUCUCAAGUAAUAUAGAAACACAAAUAUCUAACCAUUAUUUCUCUGUCUUUUGUAUUUAAUGGAUCGCAUUUUUCCCAAUAGGGAGUGAGACCAUAUGUGAUGGGGCAGAUCUUGGUUUUCUAUAUAAUGGCCCUGAGAAAAGUUUUUUGGUCGUUUUCAAUCGUGCCUUAGUAACUGCAUGAACACCGGUUUCCUCGCGGGUCACAGGCAUAUAAGGAUAAGAAGAAGGCGAAAGGAUAGAAGAAUCAGUAAGACACAUAUCGAAUCAAUGAGAUUAAUUAAGAAGAAUUAGAGAAGAAGAAAGGAAGAGAUAAUGUGUCGGAUUUAGUUUUUUUUUUUUGGUUAAAUAACCUUUAACUUAUGUACUUUUUUGGUGACAUUUUUCCUUUUUUAAGUAUCCACCAAUUUGGUUUCUCCA